CAGUCGCCGCGGUAAUACAGAGGGUGCAAGCGUUAAUCGGAAUUACUGGGCGUAAAGCGCGCGUAGGUGGUUUGUUAAGUUGGAUGUGAAAUCCCCGGGCUCAACCUGGGAACUGCAUCAAAAACUGGCAAGCUAGAGUAUGGUAGAGGGUGGUGGAAUUUCCUGUGUAGCGGUGAAAUGCGUAGAUAUAGGAAGGAACACCAGUGGCGAAGGCGACCACCUGGACUGAUACUGACACUGAGGUGCGAAAGCGUGGGGAGCAAACAGGAUUAGAUACCCGGGUAGUCCCUGUCUCUUAUAC
rnacentral:rRNA from 1 species